CCUACGGGAGGCAGCAGUGAGGAAUAUUGGUCAAUGGACGAGAGUCUGAACCAGCCAAGUAGCGUGAAGGAUGACUGCCCUAUGGGUUGUAAACUUCUUUUGUCAGGGAGCAAUUGAGUCCACGUGUGGGCUUAGCAAGAGUACCUGAAGAAACAGCAUCGGCUAACUCCGUGCCAGCAGCCGCGGUAAUACGGAGGAUGCGAGCGUUAUCCGGAUUUAUUGGGUUUAAAGGGUGCGUAGGCGGAAUAUCAAGUCAGCGGUAAAAAUUCGGGGCUCAACCCCGUCGUGCCGUUGAAACUGAUGUUCUUGAGUGGGCGAGAAGUAUGCGGAAUGCGUGGUGUAGCGGUGAAAUGCAUAGAUAUCACGCAGAACUCCGAUUGCGAAGGCAGCAUACCGGCGCCCAACUGACGCUGAAGCACGAAAGCGUGGGUAUCGAACAGGAUUAGAUACCCUGGUAGUC
rnacentral:rRNA from 1 species